rnacentral:rRNA from 1 species
UACGAAGGGGGCUAGCGUUGUUCGGAAUUACUGGCGUAAAGCGCACGUAGGCGGAUAUUUAAGUCAGGGGUGAAAUCCCAGAGCUCAACUCUGGAACUGCCUUUGAUACUGGGUAUCUUGAGUAUGGAAGAGGUGAGUGGAAUUCCGAGUGUAGAGGUGAAAUUCGUAGAUAUUCGGAGGAACACCAGUGGCGAAGGCGGCUCACUGGUCCAUUACUGACGCUGAGGUGCGAAAGCG